AAUACUACAACAAGCAACUCAAGCAUUGUAAUCCUCUCUUAAGUGCAAUACAAGUUCUCAUUUGGCUCAAUUGCUUUGUUCUCUAGUUCGAGAAGCUCUAGGCUUACUUAGCAACAAUCGGCAUAGUUGUCUAAGUGCCGCACGAAUUAGCUGCACAAAAUACUCAUCCCUUGACAAGUGGCUAAUCUCUGGAGGAUUUCCCAGUAAAUUGGCAAAAGGAUUUGACUGAUGAUGAUCAUCCGUCUUUCUCGUGAUAUUUUGACUAUGAUAAAAGAAUUUUGCUGAAAAGUAAAGGAUAGUCACGGAUGAUAUAAGAAGCCCUUAGAAUAAAGCAUUGAAGAUGCAGAAAGUCAAGAAAGUAAUUUUUAAUGCACAAUGCUAUGAGAAAUUUCCAAAAUAGAAAGUGGAUGAAUUUGUUUGGUUCACAAAUUUUCUAACCAGCGCACCAGUAAUGGAAGUUACAUGGCUUCAAACAUUAUUGUUAACUUGGUUCAUGGCAAUUAAAAAUUGUAGUAUCUGAUGAGUAUUAAGUUGACAAUAUAACAUGAUUCUACUUUCAUAACCCUAUUAUAUUUUUAUUUUUACCCUUUUAAUUUACUUGUAUCCUGCUUCUAUGAUUUAAAGGGUAAGGUAACUAUUAAAGUGGUAAUAUCAUACUGCAUUAAAUCCAUAAUUAGGAAUAAUAUAUGUUUACCAUUUAAUUUGUUAUUCCUGGUGCUGAACGGAUAAAAAUUUUGACAUAUAAAUUAGUUGUAGGCAUGAAAUAGGAAGAUCAUUAUCAAAGUUGCAAGACAUGAGUUAGAACUUACACUAUUACAUUAUUACUUGAUAUUGUUCCAUUUUAUGUGAACCUAUUUCCUUUUUGGUUCAUUCAAAAAAAAAUGACCCAUUUUAAAUUUAUAAACAAUUUAGCUUAAACUUCCAACUCUACCUUUAAUGAGAAACAUUU
rnacentral:lncRNA from 1 species